AGCGGCGGACGGGUGAGUAACGCGUGGGCAACCUGCCUUACAGAGGGGGAUAACAGUGCGAAAGCACUGCUAAUACCGCAUGAAAUUGCGAUAUCGCAUGAUAUUGCAAUCAAAGGAGAAAUCCGCUGUAAGAUGGGCCCGCGUCUGAUUAGUUAGUUGGCGGGGUAACGGCUCACCAAGACAUCGAUAGGUAGGGGUCCUGAGAGGGAGAUCCCCCACACUGGUACUGAGACACGGACCAGACUCCUACGGGAGGCAGCAGUGAGGAAUAUUGGACAAUGGGCGCAAGCCUGAUCCAGCCAUGCCGCGUGCAGGAAGACGGCCCUAUGGGUUGUAAACUGCUUUUAUACAGGAAGAAACACUCCCUCGUGAGGGAGCUUGACGGUACUGUAUGAAUAAGCACCGGCUAACUACGUGCCAGCAGCCGCGGUAAUACGUAGGGUGCGAGCGUUAAUCGGAAUUACUGGGCGUAAAGCGUGCGCAGGCGGUUUUGUAAGACAGAUGUGAAAUCCC
rnacentral:rRNA from 1 species